ACUCCCAUGUUGUAGUGGUCACAGUGCUCGCCUUACACGCGGGAGACCCGGGUUUGAUUCCCGGCGGGAGGG
rnacentral:tRNA from 1 species